rnacentral:rRNA from 1 species
AUGCCUAAUAUACUUAGUUUAACAUGUAUCUGUUUUAAUUCUGUUCUUUAUCCUACUAAUUUUUUCUUUGCCAAAUUACCCGAAGCUUAUGCUAUUUUCUAUCCAAUCGUGGAUAUUAUGCCUGUUAGACCUCUAUUCUUUUUUCUAUUAGCCUUUGUUUGGCAAGCUAAUGAGGACAUGACAAGCUUGGAUAUGACCAAAUAUAUUGCAUACAUGUAUACUUGUGAGGUGAUUUCUAAUGCAAACUAUGCAAUAAUUUAUUUAUGUCAUGCAUGA